rnacentral:rRNA from 1 species
UGGCGACCGGCGCACGGGUGCGUAACGCGUAUGUAACCUACCUAUAACAGGGGCAUAACACUGAGAAAUUGGUACUAAUUCCCCAUAAUAUUCGGAGAGGCAUCUCUCCGGGUUGAAAACUCCGGUGGUUAUAGAUGGACAUGCGUUGUAUUAGCUAGUUGGUGGGGUAACGGCUCACCAAGGCAACGAUACACAGGGGGACUGAGAGGUUAACCCCCCCACACUGGUACUGAGACACGGACCAGACUCCUACGGGAGGCAGCAUG